rnacentral:lncRNA from 1 species
ACAAAGGCAUGACCAUCCCCUUUGGAGGGAACAAAUGUGCUCUCCACCUUUUUUUCAUUCCCACCCAGCCAUCUCACUCAUCCACCCGCCUGCCGACCUCUGUCAGGUUUGACUUCUUGCAAGGGAGGAAAGGAAGGCCGAGAGACAGAAAGACUUUGCUUUCAUGAUGAGUGCAACCACAGAUGAGUCCAGCAGGGGCAGGUUGCGGUGGAAUGGCCCCAACUCAGACACCUUCAAGGUAAAGAGACAAAGAUACCAAAGAAGGCCAUGCACAGCCUACAGAUGGAAAAUUUACAGCCCAGAGAAGCCAGUGUUCAAAUGCACACUGAGAAUCUAGCAAAAGCGCCCACAGACGUCCUCCUCCUCCUCCUUGGCAUCAUCAUCAUUGCAAUCCUCUAUAAAUUGCAGCACCCAUCACCAGCCCCUGGUGGCUACUCACUCACCUGCUGGUAAAUAACAGGACACGUGUGAUGACUGGUUUAUGUGCUAUUUCUGGGGCUUAUGAGCGGCCUCAGAAGACCUCACCAUCUACGUAUUGAACAGCAAAGCUCUUGUAAUUGAGAAACCAAUAUCCUCUCUGACAGCACUCAUGUUUCCAAAUGCCCAACAGAUAUUAACCUUUGAGAUCUAGGG